GUGGGGAAUAUUGGACAAUGGGCGCAAGCCUGAUCCAGCCAUGCCGCGUGAGUGAUGAAGGCCCUAGGAUUGUAAAAUUCUUUCACCGGGGACGAUAAUGACGGUACCCGGAGAAGAAGCCCCGGCUAACUUCGUGCCAGCAGCCGCGGUAAUACGAAGGGGGCUAGCGUUGCUCGGAAUUACUGGGCGUAAAGGGCGCGUAGGCGGACAGUUUAGUCAGAGGUGAAAGCCCAGGGCUCAACCUUGGAAUUGCCUUUGAUACUGGCUGUCUUGAGUACGGGAGAGGUGAGUGGAACUCCGAGUGUAGAGGUGAAAUUCGUAGAUAUUCGGAAGAACACCAGUGGCGAAGGCGACUCACUGGCCCGUUACUGACGCUGAGGCGCGAAAGCGUGGGGAGCAAACAGGAUUAGAAACCCGAGUAGUCC
rnacentral:rRNA from 1 species